GUUUAAUUAGUUUAAAUAAAAAUUAUAAAUUGUGAUUUUAUAGAUGAAAAUUUCAUUAAACA
rnacentral:tRNA from 1 species